UGGGGAAUAUUGGACAAUGGGCGCAAGCCUGAUCCAGCAAUGCCGCGUGUGUGAAGAAGGCCUUCGGGUUGUAAAGCACUUUUAUCAGGAGCGAAACGCUGUCGGCUAAUACCCGGCGGAACUGACGGUACCUGAGGAAUAAGCACCGGCUAACUUCGUGCCAGCAGCCGCGGUAAUACGAAGGGUGCAAGCGUUAAUCGGAAUUACUGGGCGUAAAGCGUGCGUAGGCGGUUUCUUAAGUCUGCUGUGAAAUCCCCGGGCUCAACCUGGGAAUGGCAGUGGAUACUGGGAGGCUAGAGUGUGUCAGAGGGUGGUGGAAUUCCCGGUGUAGCGGUGAAAUGCGUAGAGAUCGGGAGGAACAUCAGUGGCGAAGGCGGCCACCUGGGACAACACUGACGCUGAGGCACGAAAGCGUGGGGAGCAAACAGGAUUAGAUACCCUGGUAGUCCACGCCCUAAACGAUGCGAACUGGAUGUUGGUCUCAACUCGGAGAUCAGUGUCGAAGCUAACGCGUUAAG
rnacentral:rRNA from 1 species